CAGUUUAAUCAAAGCAACACUGAUGAUUCGACGACUGAAAAAGGAUGUCCUUUCUGAACUCCCUCAGAAGCGGAGGCAACAGGUUUUCCUAAACUUGGGGGAGAAGGAGAUGAGACAAGUUAAUGCUCUAUUUCGUGAGUUGGAGGUCAUUAAGGCGAAAGGCAAAUCAGCUCAGUCCGAGGAGGAGGCUAAUUCUCUUAAGUUUGCAGAGAAGAGCCUCAUCAGUAAGAUUUACACUGCCUCCGCUGAGGCCAAAAUUCCAGCAGUUUUGGAUUACCUAGGAACCAUGGUUGAGGCAAACUGCAAGUUCCUGAUAUUUGCACAUCAUCAAUCAAUG
rnacentral:misc_RNA from 1 species